GCAGUCGAACGAGAAACGGUCUAGCUUGCUAGAUGCAGUCUAAGUGGCGCACGGGUGAGUAAUGUAUAGCUAAUGUGCCCCUUGGAGGGGGAUAACAGUUGGAAACGGCUGCUAAUACCCCAUACUCCUUCAUUCUUAAUGAGUGAAGGGAAAGUUUUUUCGCCAAGGGAUCAGGCUAUAUGGUAUCAGCUAGUUGGUGAGGUAACGGCUCACCAAGGCAAUGACGCCUAACUGGUCUGAGAGGAUGAUCAGUCACACUGGAACUGAGACACGGUCCAGACUCCUACGGGAGGCAGCAGUGGGGAAUAUUGCACAAUGGAGGAAACUCUGAUGCAGCAACGCCGCGUGGAGGAUGACGCAUUUCGGUGUGUAAACUCCUUUUAUAUAGGAAGAUAAUGACGGUACUAUAUGAAUAAGCACCGGCUAACUCCGUGCCA
rnacentral:rRNA from 1 species